UGUCGUCUGCGGGCCUCGGCCCUGAGUCAGUCUCUUCCGUGUUUGGGCGUGUGUCCCCGGGAGACAGGGCGGGCCGGGCUGGAGUGGGCGCGGAGAGGGGGCGGUGCGGACGGGGCGUGUGUCCCGGGCUGUGCCGGGCGGCCGGAGCGCAGGCUCCCAGAUGUAGCGGGUGGACCCGGCCGUUUCCCGCCCCCGACACCAACCCCGGGAGGUGCGGAAAUGGCUUUGCCUUGCUGGAAGUUCCUUCACUUGCCUUCUCCCCCGCGCCCCCCACUAAAAAUGGUUAACUGACUGCGAUACUCUUGUGGAAGGGAUGGAAAGGAAUGGCAUGCUGUCUGCAGCUGCACACAAGGAGCUGGACUCAGAGGUCACGCAGAUGGUAAAACUCAGACCUGGCACCAGAGCUCGGGUUUUCCAGUUCCAAGCCCAAGGCCUUGCCCCCUUCACCAGGGUUUCCCAAACUCUAAGUGUUUUUUAAUGCGGGAGCCUUAUUUAUACUACGGCUGGAAGACAGUGGUGAGAUGGGAAAUUUUAUACCCACAGAAGUUUACUUCCACGUGAGAGGUUUGGAAUAAGGAACUCUCACCUAGAAACAAUUUUCCCAUCUCUGGGAAACAAGAAGCACUGACUGCCAAGAUUGACUACUGAUGAAUUUUUCCUCGACAGACAGAACUGGUCACUGGCUAACUACAAGGCUGCCAGGAGGAUAGUUUGUCCUAUUCCUGAAGUGCUCCUCUGCCACCCCUCCUCCUAGCAAACUUUCCUAUUCACUUCACAGUGCAGCCUAAGCAUCCUGUCCUUUGUGAAGUUUCCCAGCUACAUGGACACAGAUGACAGCCACUCUCUCCUCUGUGCUCCCAGAAGCCGUGGUUCACAGCCUGUGGUAUUUAACUUGCAACCUAAGUCUCAGUGGGUCAGCCUUUCUUUGAAAGGUAAAUGAAAUAUGGCUCAAACCAAGAUCCCUGUAGGACGGCUGACACAGCUACCCUGGGCCCCCCCAAAAGUCCUACGCUGUUCAUCGGGGCUCGACAUUCCUCCUAGUCACCUUGUUUCCAAGUUCGGCUGCCAUGAAUCCUCAACCUCCUCGCACCCGUGUUCCUUUGCUGUGUUGAUUAAGUUCCCUAAAAUAAAUGCACACGAAGUAUCUAAGUCACUGGCAAAGUUCAGUGAAGGGUUGGGGUUAUGGAGGACAUAUACAUCACAUAAAUAUCAUUUAAAAUUGAAUACCAGGGCUUCCCUGGUGGCGCAGUGGUUGAGAGUCCGCCUGCCGAUGCAGGGGACACGGGUUCGUGCCCCGGUCCGGGAAGAUCCCACGUGCCGCGGAGCGGCUGGGCCCGUGAGCCGUGGCCGCUGAGCCUGCGCGUCCGGAGCCUGUGCCCCGCAACGGGAGAGGCCACAAC